AUGUUUGGGAAGGACUAACUAACAAAUAAAGGUGUGUGAGGAAAAGCAGGAUGAUAAGAGUAAGGGGGAGGGUGGGGCAGACACAGUAAAGACCCAGAAAGCAAAACCUCAGGAACAAAUGAAAGAACUCAGCCAGGAAGGAGGCUCUCUGGACCAUGUUUGAAAUCCCAUGAAGGCUUCCUCCUGAAACGGCAAAUGUGUCUGAACAAGUCCAUUCAAGUGAGAGCUAGUGGCUACAGGAGGAGAGAAAGGUGCCCACUGAGACUUUCUGGAACCUUCACACCUGUGGAAGCAGAAGUUUCUAGGUAUUCCCUGUGAAGUUGUACGACGCUACUUCUUAGUUCAUGCAGGUAUCCUGAGGAUAAAGCGGAAUGACCCAUGUGCUGUAUGUACUGAGCUCACAUGCAUGUGGAAAACACCACACUACUGUUUGGCGGUUGUUGGAAGAAACAGUGCUGUGAACUGUCCCCACAACAAG